rnacentral:rRNA from 1 species
GAUGAACGCUGGCGGCGUGCCUAAUACAUGCAAGUCGAGCGAACGGACGAGAAGCUUGCUUCUCUGAUGUUAGCGGCGGACGGGUGAGUAACACGUGGAUAACCUACCUAUAAGACUGGGAUAACUUCGGGAAACCGGAGCUAAUACCGGAUGAUAUUUUGAACCGCAUGGUUCAAAAGUGAAAGACGGUCUUGCUGUCACUUAUAGAUGGAUCCGCGCUGCAUUAGCUAGUUGGUAAGGUAACGGCUUACCAAGGCAACGAUGCAUAGCCGACCUGAGAGGGUGAUCGGCCACACUGGAACUGAGACACGGUCCAGACUCCUACGGGAGGCAGCAGUAGGGAAUCUUCCGCAAUGGGCGAAAGCCUGACGGAGCAACGCCGCGUGAGUGAUGAAGGUCUUCGGAUCUUAAAACUCUGUUAUUAGGGAAGAACAUAUGUGUAAGUAACUGUGCACAUCUUGACGGUACCUUAUCAGAAAGCCACGGCUAACUACGUG